UACGUAGGGGGCUAGCGUUGUCCGGAAUCAUUGGGCGUAAAGCGCGCGUAGGUGGCCUCAUAAGUCCGCUGUGAAAGUCAAAGGCUCAACCUUUGAAAGCCGGUGGAUACUGUGAGGCUAGAGUACGGAAGAGGCGAGUGGAAUUCCUGGUGUAGCGGUGGAAUGCGCAGAUAUCAGGAGGAACACCGAUGGCGAAGGCAGGUCUCUGGGCCACUACUGACGCUGAGAAGCGAAAGCGUGGGGAGCGAACAGG
rnacentral:rRNA from 1 species